rfam:Capsicum annuum cultivar Zunla-1 chromosome 11, whole genome shotgun sequence
UGAUGAUGAUGAGGACAAUUCCUGAGCAUACCCUGGAAUCUCUCCCAAGCUUUGUAAAGAUUUCUCUAUCUUUUUUCCUGAAACUCAGAUUCUCACUUCUCAAAUG